rnacentral:misc_RNA from 1 species
CAAAAUAUUACUAGGACCGAUAAAAUUAAAAGAAAAAAAAAAAGAAAGCUAAUAUAACAUAAAAUGCUGUAAGAAAUAUGCUUCACUCCUUUCCCUUUUGAGUAAAUCUCUCUCAACAGCAAAUAUCUUACAAAUUGGCUGCCUUUUCUUCUGGUGUAUUUACAUUCCUUAUUUUUAACAAUAUUACUAUGUGUUUCAGGGAAUGAUAGCUGGCCAUGCUUACUAUU